rnacentral:rRNA from 1 species
UACGUAGGGUGCUAGCGUUGUUCGGAAUUAUUGGGCGUAAAGCGCGUGUAGGUGGUUAGGUAAGUCAGGUGUGAAAUCCCCCGGCUCAACCGAGGAAGUGCAUUUGAAACUACCUAGCUAGAGGACAGUAGAGGAAGGUGGAAUUCCUAGUGUAGAGGUGAAAUUCGUAGAUAUUAGGAGGAAUACCGGUGGCGAAGGCGGCCUUCUGGGCUGUUCCUGACACUGAGACGCGAAAGCGUGGGUAGCAAACAGG